rnacentral:rRNA from 1 species
UGGGGAAUUUUGCACAAUGGGGGAAACCCUGAUGCAGCGACGCCGCGUGAUUUAGAAGGCCUUCGGGUUGUAAAAAUCUUUUCUAUGGGAAGAAAAUGACAGUACCAUAGGAAUAAGGACCGGCUAAUUACGUGCCAGCAGCCGCGGUAAUACGUAGGUCCGAGCGUUGUCCGGAAUCAUUGGGCGUAAAGGGUACGUAGGCGGGUAAGCAAGUUAGAAGUGAAAUCCUAUAGCUCAACUAUAGUAAGCUUUUAAAACUGCUCAUCUUGAGGUAUGGAAGGGAAAGUGGAAUUCCUAGUGUAGCGGUGAAAUGCGCAGAUAUUAGGAGGAAUACCGGUGGCGAAGGCGACUUUCUGGCCAUAACCUGACGCUGAGGUACGAAAGCGUGGGUAGCAAACAGG